UUUAAUUGUUUAUUUAAAUCUUGUUUAAUUAACCUAUUAUUUAUUUUAUUUAAAUGAUUAUGAUUAACUUGUUGAUGGAUUCAAUAAUCCAAAUUAAUCACAGUUAAUUGUCAAUAAACUAAAUAAAUAAUUUGUAACGGGUAAUUGUAUAAUCUUCUUUCAUUAGUAUCAUAAACUUAGUAACAUGAUAGGUCUCAGCCAAAUUAGUGUAUAUAUGUGAGCCUACGUAUGUUAUUGAGCUUAGAUGCAUAUAGGAGUCCAUUUAAAUUUAAAAAUUCAAAUAGACUAGGUUGCUAAUAAUAAAAAUAUCACAUUGAUAAUUUUAUUUAAGUCCAAUUAGUAUUGGACUUAUUCAAUUAAUGACAAUUAUUUAUUUAAGUGAAAAUUAUACCAGAUAUGAAAUUCUAUAAAAAAAAAGUUUCAUAAAUAUGGUAUUUUUAACUUUACCACCCUUAUAUGGCAUUUGUUCAAGUUUAAAUUUUUUUAUGGUAUUUCAGUUGCCACCUUUUUUGUAAAUUUAAUUUUUAAAUCUUAUAUUUUAAGAUUGUGUAUUCAACCCAAUUUCUUAAGGGGUAAAUUAAUAAUUUUAAAUCUUUUUUUCAAUUCGAUUCUUAUGUUUUUUUAGAAAAAGUAAUUUUUAAGAUUAAAAUAGGAGUUAUCUUUUAUAGUCCGCAUGUAAAAGUACCUCUAUUUCUCCUUCACUAUUUUUAUUGUUCUCUUAGUUGAUAUAGCUUCAGGUAUAAUAUUUGCAUCCCCAUUUUAGGAUUUUUUUUUAUCUCUCUUAUUUUUCUCUACAUUUCUCUUCUAUAUACGCCUCCUUCAUCUUCUUUUUUCUCUUAUUUUUUGUUCUUCUUCUUGCUUGGUCUCGACACUAUUCUGAGGUCAUCAAUUGCAAGCCAUUCCAUUUUGGAUUGUGUUCUAGUUUUAAGGUGCUGUAAGGAAACUGGUUUCACAAGGUUCAUAAGUUCAAAACUAGUUUCACAGAUUUUAACGUCUAACUCCGGUGGCAACUCUAGCAUCAAACUCCAGUAACGGCGAUAACUCCGAUGACUUUGCAGUGAUUUUUUUUGGUGACGAUGCCACUUUUGACAACUUUUUGAGAACCAUCAGCAACUCCAGUGACUUUUUUUCACCGUUAACAAAUUCUGACAACUUUUUCGACACGACAGUAACUCUAACGACUGUGUUGGUGGUCAAGUCUUAGAGCUUCUAAGAAGCAUGUCAAAUUUAUGAGUUUUCGUCAAGGAAUCAGUUUUUUGAUUAUAUAGAAUUAAUUGACUUAUUCAUUUAUUUUUUUAAUAAAAUUAUUUGGGCUUU